GCCGUGAGAUGUUUGGGGUUGUGGGGGCUCUUAAUUCUGGAGGGACUUUGAAACAUGUUUUUAAAUACCACGUGGAGUUUAGUGUGGACUAUGGAAAAGGGGCUGAUUUGUCGAGAAGGGUCAAAAACACUGUCAAGUUGGAGUUUCCACGAGUGAAAGGAGCAGGAGACAAAGUAAAGUACAGGUAUAAAUAUGAAGAAGAGCUGCGGAAGGGACAUGGAAGAGACUUAAGGGCCUUGGACAUAAGAUUACCAGGUUAAUGCGCUAGAUUGAUGGGAUAGAAAGGACUGACAAAACCCGGGACCAGGAGGAAGAGACGCUGGAUGAAGAUUGGAAGAAAGUUUGAAUUUUUUUUUUAUUAGGAUUGUUUUAUAAAAUUGAUGAAUGUUAGAAAAAUGUUGGAACGAAAUUAUUUGGCUUUAGCAAAAAUGUUAAAAGAAUUAUGUAAGAAUAUGUUAUGGUUAUGAGAAAUUGGUAUAAAUAAGAUCUAAGUUUUAAGUUUUAGGGUCUUUUAUAGUAAGAUAAGGUUAAAAUAGAUUAAGGUAAUUUAAUGACAGAAUACUAUGAAAAAUGGAAAGGAUUUGCUGCGAUAAUUAACAACUAGGAUACAAAAAAGGGAGGAGUGAGGAGGUCGAUGAAAUAAGGCAAUGACAGUUAAGGAUUUGGGAAUAUUGGAUUUGUUUUUAAAUUUUUGUGGCUUAUUUUUGCUUUUUGAUUGUGUUGUGUUACGUGUUUUGUUGUUAUUUUUUUGAUUUUGAUUUUUAUCAAUUUGUAUUGUUUGAUUGAGGUUUGUUUUUCUUUUGUUUUUUCUCUUUCUUUUUCUUUUUGUUUUUCCUGUAAUUUUAAAAUUCUUAAUAAAUAUC